UACGUAGGGGGCUAGCGUUGUCCGGAAUCAUUGGGCGUAAAGAGCGUGUAGGCGGCCCGGUAAGUCCGCUGUGAAAGUCGGGGGGCUCAACCCUCGAAUGCCGGUGGAUACUGUCGGGCUAGAGUGCGGAAGAGGCGAGUGGAAUUCCUGGUGUAGCGGUGAAAUGCGCAGAUAUCAGGAGGAACACCGAUGGCGAAGGCAGCUCGCUGGGACGGUACUGACGCUGGAGGCGACGAAAGCGUGGGGAGCAAACAGG
rnacentral:rRNA from 1 species